rnacentral:rRNA from 1 species
UACAGAGGGUGCGAGCGUUAAUCGGAAUUACUGGGCGUAAAGCGCACGUAGGUGGCGACGUAAGUCGGGUGUGAAAGCCCCGGGCUCAACCUGGGAAUUGCAUUCGAGACUGCAUUGCUGGAGUACGGAAGAGGAAGGCGGAAUUCCCGGUGUAGCGGUGAAAUGCGUAGAGAUGUGGGGGAACACCAGUGGCGAAGGCGGCUCUUUGGUCUGUAACUGACGCUGAGGCGCGAAAGCGUGGGGAGCGAACAGG